AACGCACAUUGCGCCCCCUGGUAUUCCGGGGGGCAUGCCUGUUCGAGCGUCAUUACGCCACUCAAGCCUCGCUUGGUAUUGGGCGUCGCGAGUCCCUCGCGCGCCUCAAAGUCUCCGGCUGUGCGGUCCGUCUCCCAGCGUUGUGGCAACUAUUUCGCAGUGGAGUUCGAGUCGUCGCGGCCGUUAAAUCUUUCAACGGUUGACCUCGGAUCAGGUAGGGAUACCCGCUGAACUUAA
rnacentral:misc_RNA from 1 species